CUCACUCUGACAGAGAGGGGUCAAAUUAGAGAAGAAGAACAUUUUAACAGCACCAGAAAUGCAAUGCCCUGUGAAAACCAAAUGACAUCCAACAGUCCAGCAGAUGCUACUUCUUCUGCCUCAGUGGAUGAGGGUUCAGUGAUUUACAGUUCUGUGAUUACCUUUCAUAAAGCACCUUCAACAUCUGUGAAUUCAGAAGGUGAAGUGAUCUACAGCACUGUGAAAUAAACACCCAAGGCUGUGAGUUCAUAACAAGAGGUGUUACUUCUGCACCUUCUGAAUAAA